AACAAUCACGGACUACAGUCAUGGCUGACGUAGACAUCAACUUCCAACAGCAGGAAGGCAAUUUAUUUCUGGUGACAGAGGACUCAUGAGAGACAGCAGGCCGUCAGAGGCUGGUGGCAAUGGGAGGAGAAAAAAAAAUCUCGCAGGCCAAGUGAAGAGAGACAGCUAUUAGUGCUACACAUGCCACUCCUGAGAUACCAGUGGAGCUGCUCUCGGGACCUGCCUGAUCCAUCCUGAUGUUCCCAUCACUUUGCUCCUGUGAAUGAUGGCCUCAUAUGGACAGCAAGAUCCACCUUGCUGAUGGCUUUGGACAAUUAACAUAAACAGCUUUGCUACAAUGGCUGAGGACAACAAUUGCCACGAUAGCUUUU